UACGGGGGGGGCAAGCGUUGUUCGGAAUUACUGGGCGUAAAGGGCUCGUAGGCGGCCAACUAAGUCGGACGUGAAAUCCCCAGGCUCAACCUGGGAACUGCGUCCGAUACUGGAUGGCUUGAAUUCGGGAGAGGAUGCAGAAUUCCAGGUGUAGCGGUGAAAUGCGUAGAUAUCUGGAGGAAUACCGGUGGCGAAGGCGGCAUCCUGGACCGACAUUGACGCUGAGGAGCGAAAGCUAGGGGAGCAAACAGG
rnacentral:rRNA from 1 species